GAUCAUGGCUCAGGAUGAACGCUGGCGGCGUGCCUAACACAUGCAAGUCGAGCGAAGCGUUUUUGAAGGAAGUUUUCGGAUGGAAUUUGAAAUGACUGAGCGGCGGACGGGUGAGUAACGCGUGGGUAACCUGCCUCAUACAGGGGGGAUAACAGUUAGAAAUGACUGCUAAUACCGCAUAAGCACACAGUACCGCAUGGUACAGUGUGAAAAACUCCGGUGGUAUGAGAUGGACCCGCGU
rnacentral:rRNA from 1 species